AGCGAACGCUGGCGGCAGGCCUAACACAUGCAAGUCGAACGAAGUCUUCGGACUUAGUGGCGGACGGGUGAGUAACACGUGGGAACGUACCUUUUGGUUCGGAACAACUCAGGGAAACUUGAGCUAAUACCGGAUGAGCCCUUAGGGGGAAAGAUUUAUCGCCGAAAGAGCGGCCCGCGUUAGAUUAGCUAGUUGGUGAGGUAAAGGCGCACCAAGGCUACGAUCUAUAGCUGGUCUGAGAGGAUGAUCAGCCACACUGGGACUGAGACACGGCCCAGACUCCUACGGGAGGCAGCAGUGGGGAAUCUUGCGCAAUGGGCGAAAGCCUGACGCAGCCAUGCCGCGUGAAUGAUGAAGGUCUUAGGAUUGUAAAAUUCUUUUACCAGGGACGAUAAUGACGGUACCUGGAGAAAAAGCCCCGGCUAACUUCGUGCCAGCAGCCGCCGCGGUAA
rnacentral:rRNA from 1 species